rnacentral:rRNA from 1 species
UUUGAAAUCUGGCCCCUUUGGGGUCCGAGUUGUAAUUUGCAGAGGGUGCUUUUGGUGUUGGCCGUGGUCUAAGUUCCUUGGAACAGGACGUCACAGAGGGUGAGAAUCCCGUACGUGGCCGCCGGCCCUCGCCUUGUAAAGCCCCUUCGACGAGUCGAGUUGUUUGGGAAUGCAGCUCUAAAUGGGAGGUAAAUUUCUUCUAAAGCUAAAUACCCGCCAGAGACCGAUAGCGCACAAGUAGAGUGAUCGAAAGAUGAAAAGCACUUUGGAAAGAGAGUGAAAAAGCACGUGAAAUUGUUGAAAGGGAAGCGCUUGCGGCCAGACGUGCCCGCGGUUGUUCAUCUGGGCUCUCGCCCGGUGCACUCCUCCGCGGGCAGGCCAGCAUCAGUUUGGGCGGUCGGACAAAGGUCUCUAUCACGUACCACCCCUCGGGGUGGCCUUAUAGGGGAGACGCAACACGGCCAGCCUGGACUGAGGUUCCGCGCAUCUGCUAGGAUGCUGGCGUAAUGGCAGCAAGCGGCCCGUCUUGAAACACGGACCAAGGAGUCUAACAUCUAUGCGAGUGUUUGGGUGUCAAGCCCGAGCGCGUAAUGAAAGUGAACGGAGGUGGGAACCCCUCGGGGCGCACCAUCGACCGAUCCUGAUGUCUUCGGAUGGAUUUGAGUAAGAGCAUAGCUGUUGGGACCCGAAAGAUGGUGAACUAUGCCUGAAUAGGGUGAAGCCAGAGGAAACUCUGGUGGAGGCUCGCAGCGGUUCUGACGUGCAAAUCGAUCGUCAAAUUUGGGCAUAGGGGCGAAAGACUAAUCGAACCAUCUAGUAGCUGGUUCCUGCCGAAGUUCCCUCA